rnacentral:piRNA from 1 species
GUGUGCUGUAAAAGCCUGGGCAUUUUCGGG